AUUUCCUGAGCUCUGAAAAGAAACAGAAGAGAAAUGAGGAAAAUGGGAGGAGAAUUUUCUGGCAACAUUACAAGAUGCCAUGAAAAAAAUUAGUCUUCCAAAUUUCCUAUGUGGAAAGAUACUUGCAUGUGGAUGGCCAUCUGAGAAAAGAAAAAAUAGCAAUAAGUAAUGAUGUCACUCAAGUUCUUAAUUAUCCAGUUUGGAAUGCAAAGAACAUUAUAUGAUCUACAGUUGAGGCCUUCCACUGAGUACCCACAAGGUUUGCCUUUUGAGUGGUGUCCCCCAAUUAUGGAAUGUUGUCUCCACUGAAGCCCACCCCGCAUCAACAUUACCAUCUUUUCAUCACUGAGAGACUGCCUGAGCACCGGAAGGGCUUUUGAGUACUGGGCAAUGCUGAAGGCAAAAGAGGCAGAGCCAGAGGGGCCAGAGGUACUGUGUUUACUGCCACUAACUGAGGGGCAUUUCACCGUUUUAUAAUGGGGUGGGGGGAAUGUACAAAAGCCAGGAAACUACCAAGUAUUUGAAGGAAGAGGGGAAUGCGCCUUCAUAAAGGGGUUGUGUGUGAUCCUCUGGAGAAAUCAAGGGCAUCUGAUUGGAGGUUGUGCAGAGCUGUUUUCAAUAAUAGGAAAAAAUAUGACAAUUCACAAAACAACAAAUUUUAUACACUUGUUGGUCCUAACACUUCUCUCUUUCUCGGCAUACAAAGUGAUUUAGGGCACAGUGCUAAACAUAAUGCUAAAUGUUGUAAGCCAUCCUGAGAUUGUUGUAAAGGACGGCAUAUAAAUGUUUUAAAUAAAUAAUUAAAAUAAUCACACAGGGAAAAGGUCUGCGACUCUCAGCAUGUCCCAGCCAGCCUACUGAUUGAGGCAUGUUGGGAAAUGUAUGGUCAAUCAGGGAAAGGAUUGUGCUGGCAACUAGCCUUCAGGAUACACAAAAGUCCAGAAAAUGUGUUCAUUCAAUACUUAAUUAUUAAGUUUCUUUAUCAUAUCAGGUGAAGAAGGCCAGGAGAACUGAUGCCUUUAAAUUAGGAUUAGAUAGCUUUCUGAAGGAUAGUAUCAUCAAAGGUUUGUGAUCAUCUUACUUAAAAAAUGAAGCUACUCAUGGGCUCAGUGAAAAUCUCAAUCAACCACCAUGAGAUGAUUCCAUUCUUUGAGAUGAUGCAAAAAUCAGUACUUAUUCAAAGCAAGUGAGAACUCACUUCCACACUCCAGAAACUUCAACAUUUUAAAAUAUAAAGAAUGGGAAGGGAUUAUGUUCUAUAGUUCAUUUAAAAAGUCAUGACCAGUGUCCCUCUGUGACCAUCUGAUCAAAUAAGGCAAGCAACUUUCAUAUAAUAUAAAAUAAAAUUCAAUUUUAAAUCUAUAUUAAUUCAUGAACUCACCACUAUGUUUGCCACCCCAAGUUGAUUGGCACAAACGUCGUUUCAUGCUGACCUUUUAACUAAAGGGUUCAAUGCAUAUCAAUAUCAGAAGUAAAUCCAUUCUUUAGACACUGUUGGAAGGUCAUUCCCAAAUAAUUUAUGCCACAAUCUGAGCAUAUUGUUAAUAAUACAUAAGACCAUGUCAGUAUCAAUUGAAAAAGUCAAAUGACACAGAUUUCAGCAUGGAUAAAUGGCCAUGUGAAUUGGUUUUGGUUCAUAUUCUGUCAUGACAGCCUCAUACACCUUACUUGAAAAUAAAUGGAAGUCUCACAGAUUGAUUUCAGGUUUCAGCUAGUCUCAAAUAAAUGUUCAUAGUUUCCCCUGUCAGAGUAUGCCUCAUGUUGACAUGGGCACUGCCUGAGCGAAAACUUGAUUUGCUCUAACAUACUGACCCAUACAUUGGCUUUGUUUCUCUGUAUCAAUUCUAAAAUCCUAAGCUUUUAAACUUUUUAAAAAGAUAAAAUGCAAGCUGGUGUAACUAACUUGAGUUGAACAAAAUUUUUAAUUUCAGAAAUCAAAGGUCCAGUUUUUUAAAUCUAAUUUCCAUUAUAUGCUGUCAAUUCAGAGGUAAGAUCUAAAUGUUAGCAUUUCUGUUGCCAGUAAAGGGAUCUUAAUGUUGCAGUCUAAACAUUUCAUCUACCUCUCCAUAUUUCUAUUCCCACUAUUCAGUUCUAACAUCUCACAGUCCAUUGACUUCCAUCAACAGCACUUUAGGUCAAUCAGGGAAUUCAUCCACAUGGAGAGAAUUCUGUAUGCUUCAGAUCUGAGAGUUCAGUUCAACAGCAGCCUUGUGCUAACCAGGGGUGAGUCUAUCUGCAUUUUCUCAUGCAUUUGGGUUUCACAGGUAUUCAGCACCUGAACAGACAUAUAGUGGUUCUGUGAAAGAUGCGCUUGAGAUGAGGGGAACUUUGAGCAGGUAAUAAACAGAGAGUAAAGCAUGCUAGCAGAGGCAAACAUUCUAUUCAGCAUCACUUCAUUGUUCAGUUAUUAACAAAUGUUGGCAAGAUAUCCACAAAUAUUAGGCAUAUCACUUUCAUAUUGAGGGUUGAGCAUGGGCUUCCUUUCCAGUUAAGGUCACUCAAGGAGGCAUAAACCAAUUUUGUUCCAAUUCAGAUUGUAGUCACGGACUAUAAAUAUGUUGUUUAUUCAUGAAAUUAUUAUAUUGUAUUCAGCAACUACUUUUAAAGUGGCACACAAUACGGUAAUUUAAAUCUUAAUAAGGACAACCAGAGUCUUGUGACACCUUGAGCUCUAGCCCUUUAGCCUAAGUCUUCAUUCGUACUUUCCCCAAAACUCUUUGUGGCUUGUGCUGCAACGAACUAACACUGCUAUUCCUAAAAUAGUAUUGAAACAACAGUAAAACUUAAAGCGAACAAGAGUUGGAUCCAGAAUCUGCCUUCUGUGAGAGGAUGCAC